rnacentral:rRNA from 1 species
CCACCUGAUUCCAUCCCGAACUCAGUAGUGAAACGAUGCAUCGCCGAUGGUAGUGUGGGGUCUCCCCAUGUGAGAGUAGGUCAUCGCCAGGC